UUGGAGGGCAAGUCUGGUGCCAGCAGCCGCGGUAAUUCCAGCUCCAAUAGCGUAUAUUAAAGUUGUUGCAGUUAAAAAGCUCGUAGUUGAAUUUCGGGGUUAGUAGGUUGGUCAUGCCUCUGGUAUGUACUGGUCUCACUGAUUCCUCCUUCCUGAUGAGCUGUAAUGUCAUUUAUUUGGUGUUGUGGGGAAUCAGGACUGUUACUUUGAAAAAAUUAGAGUGUUUAAAGCAGGCUCACGCUUGAAUACAUUAGCAUGGAAUAAUGAAAUAGGACGUUUGAUUCUAUUUUGUUGGUUUCUAGGAUCGACGUAAUGAUUAAUAGGGAUAGUUGGGGGCAUUAGUAUUCAAUUGUCAGAGGUGAAAUUCUUGGAUUUAUUGAAGACUAACUACUGCGAAAGCAUUUGCCAAGGAUGUUUUCAUUAAUCAAGAACGAAAGUUAGGGGAUCGAAGACGAUCAGAUACCGUCGUGGUCUUAACCAUAAACUAUGCCGACUAGGGAUCGGAUGAUGUUAAUUUUUUAAUGACUCAUUCGGCGCCUUACGGGAAAC
rnacentral:rRNA from 1 species